rnacentral:rRNA from 1 species
UACGUAGGGACCGAGCGUUGUCCGGAAUCAUUGGGCGUAAAGAACGUGUAGGCAACCACUUAAGUCCUGCAUAAAAUCUUACAACUCAACCACAAACAGUCAUAAAAAACUGAAUAGCUAAAGUGCGGGAGAGGAGAGUGGAAUUCCUGGUGUAGCGGUGGAAUGCGCAGAUAUCAGGAAGAACACCCAUAGCAAAAACGGCUCUCUGGAACGCAACUGACGCUGAGACGCGAAAGCGUGGGGAGCAAACAGG